UACGGGGGGGGCAAGCGUUGUUCGGAAUUACUGGGCGUAAAGGGCUCGUAGGCGGCUCAGUAAGUCGGGUGUGAAACCCCCGGGCUCAACCCGGGGACGCCACCUGAUACUGCUGUGGCUUGAGUCCGGUAGGGGAGCGUGGAAUUCCUGGUGUAGCGGUGAAAUGCGCAGAUAUCAGGAGGAACACCAGCGGCGAAGGCGGCGCUCUGGACCGGUACUGACGCUGAGGAGCGAAAGCGUGGGGAGCAAACAGG
rnacentral:rRNA from 1 species